rnacentral:rRNA from 1 species
AACGAACGCUGGCGGCGUGCCUAACACAUGCAAGUCGAACGAGAAAGGGGCUUCGGCUCCGAGUAAAGUGGCGCACGGGUGAGUAACAUGUGGGUUACCUGCCUCUAAGGUUGGGAUAACUCGUCGAAAGAUGAGCUAAUACCGGAUAAGACCACAGUUCCCGCGGGAACAGGGGUCAAAGGUAGCCUCUGUUUGCAAGCUAUCACUUAGAGAUGGGUCUGCGCACCAUUAGCGAGUUAGUAGGGUAACGGCCUACCAAGGCAAAGAUGGUGAGCUGGUCUGAGAGGAUGAUCAGCCACACUGGAACGGAGACACGGUCCAGACUCCUAAGGGAGGCAGCAGUGGGAAAUAUUGCGCAAUGGGCGAAAGCUGGACGCAGCAACGCCGCGUGAGUGAUGAAGGCCUUCGGGUCGUAAAGCUCUGUCGGGAGGAACGAAUGCUCCCAAGGUUAACAGCCUCGGGAGGUGACGGUACCUUCAAAGGAAGCACCGGCUAACUCUGUGCCAGCCGCCGCUGUAAAAC